UUCAGAUGUUCAAGCUCUUGUUCCUACUCUGUAACUUCAAUAAGUCCAUUGUGGUGCCCUGUUACAGUAGCUGACUCAUCAGAAAUGAUGAAAAGUCUUACUCUAGUCUCCUCCGACUAGAAGACAGAAAUCCUGCUCCUCAUUUCUAGAAUGAAGAGACUAUAAGAAAGAAAUAAUGCUGAGACUGUAAACUCAGCCCUAAUGUGGGCAGGAGGUCGCCCCUAGAGCAUCUGUCUUGCUCCAGGCUUGAUGACGGACACGAGGGGAAAGGAUUGGGGUGGAAGGAAGACGGCUUGGUUUGUUGUUUCUGUGGAAAAGGACCUGCUGCAUCCCAGGCCCAGGGGACCAGGCUCUUACAUGCUUGUAGCUGGACUGAGUGUGCCCCAGGCCCUGUGGGCCGUCACCUUCACAGUCUACAAACUGUCUGUCAUUUUAGGAUCAUAUACCUCCUGCAAAGCAGCAUGCACACCUACACAAGAAACCGUAUCCCUAGACCCUGUCUAUGGUGACAAGCAGGCACAUCUAAAGUACAAGUUAUUUCCUUUUAAAGACAUUUCAACUUAAGGAAGAUGAUUUCUACCUCUCACUCAAGAGACACAGUAUAGGGGAACUGGGCAGGUCAGAUGUUUAGCAGGUUUAGAAAAGCUAACCUUGUACAUCAGGGCACUAGGGACCUGUUACUCUGUGAAGAUGUCCAUAACACCCUUGGGCUGCUCCAGUCCCUUUCCCCUGCUGGUCUGUGGCUGGAGUCAAAAGUGAGUGCUGCAGCUCUGUGAUUAAUUCUCAUCUUCCCCAUGACUGAGGAAGGAACUUGGGGUCCCCAGGGGCAGUGGUUGUUUACUGCAGGACACAGCCCCGGAGGACUGGAGCCUGGUGAAUGUCUGCAGUGCUGUCUGAAACUCAGGGGUGAAACCGUGCUUGGUGGGAAAGAGCAGCAGCUCUGCGGGAGAGAAAUGCUCGAGGGAGAGGGUGUACCCAGGGAACAGCAGAGGAAGCAUGUGUGAGGCAGCAGCUGCAGAAACAGGCAGCAGGGAGGUGAGUUCUUCCAGCAAGAAUACAUCUGAGGAACCGCUACUGCACCUACCAUGAAAGCAUGGAGAAGAAAACCUCACCCUGUGGGGUCUGUUCACCAUUCUUUCUCCCAUGGUCAGCCCAGGACAAGCCACUGACUGAAUAAGGAGUGGGAAGCCUGCUGUGUAUUGGGAUCCCACUUGCACACAGAGGAAACUGCAGCAGUGCCAAGACCCAAGUCACUUCCUGGUGACUGCACUGGCUCACACCUGCCUAAGCAAAAGUCAUGGUCCCUCAUCUCCACACAACUUGACUGCAGCAGAGUGGAGGAGGGCAAAGCUUGCUUUUGCCCUGUACUGAAAAAAACAUGUGUGGUAUUGCCCCAAGGACCUGGGAAAAUAACCCACAGUGCAAAACGGAUGAGAGAAGGAGCCUACUUAGCUCCAGAUGGCUUUUGAAAGUGUUCAUUUGCCCUCCUGGUCCUUCACUUCCCACAUUGUAAUUCAGGGCUGCUAAACGAUCACUAAAUUGAAGGUGGCCUGGAAGUCUUGAGUCACUUGUAUUGCUUGGGUACAGCAGUGAUAUGUGACUGGGGGUGUUUAUACAUGUAUAGUUUCAGCUUGAUAGCAGUAUCUCAAUUAAAGUGUUUAGCUACACCCAUUUCUUCCCCAGUAAGCAGAUAGUAAAACUGCCUGUACAGAAAUGCAUAAAGAUGUGACUCCAGAGUCAUUAUCUGCUGCAGAGGAGUUCAGAGGCCAGAUAUUGCUUCAGCCAUGGAGUUUUUCCAUGGAGAGAGUGGGGGCUAUAGCUGUGGACUACUGCUAGGAGAGCAGCAGGGCUCUCUUCUACCCUGACUACACCACAUCCUUUGGCUGAGUGGGCACACCUGGCCUUCAUCCAGCAAAGAG